rnacentral:lncRNA from 1 species
GAGGAAGAGAAAAAUCAGAAGAAAGUGAUGUCACAGAGGCAGAGGGAGGAGUUUCUGAGAAGAGGGAAUGGCCACAGUGCAAACAGCUCAGCAAUAACAGCGGAGGUGACAGAAAGUGUCAAAGCCAACUAUUCACUGGAGGCAAAGUCUGAACACUUCAAAUGAGAUUUAGUGACUCAUCCGUGGGCAGGCCAGGGCUCUGAGAAUCCCUGCAGGUUAUACACUGACAGUCCAGCUAAUCUUAGGAAGAGGGACAAGUUUCUGUGGGUCAGAAAUUUGGGCAGGUCAUGGAAGGGAUGGCUUGUCUCUUCUCCACAAUAUCUGGGGACUCAGCUGGGAAGACUUGAAGAAUGCGGAUGACUCAACACUUGGAGUCUAGAAUCAUCUGGAGAUAUCAGGAGUCACAUGAAUUGGAAACCAAGGCGUGGAGAGCUUAAGUAAGCUGCCCAAGGUCACUCAGCUAGUGAAUGGUGGAGCUGGGAGUCUCACCCGGCAGGAGGCCAGCGAGGCUGGAGCUGGUGGGUGAGGACCAGAAUGGCAGGAGAUCGAGCCACGUGGAGGGUCUGGGUCACGUCCAGCCUUGCAGGCCAUGGAAAAGGCAUUGAAUUUUAUCCUAUGUGCCAUGAGAAAUCGUUGAAAAGAUUUGAGCAGGAUAGUGCAUGACUUAAUGUGUGCGUGAAAAAGCCUGUGAUGAACUUUGUUCUUUUAAAAAUAAAAUCAUUAUAAUUUAUGAUUGUGAAACCUACAUGUUCAUUUGGAAAACACAGAAAAGCAUAAAAUCGAAAACCAAAAUCACCUCUAAUCCCACCCUCCGAAGAAAACAGGCCUCAGCCACAAAGAACCAGCCAUCCUGGCCAACUCAGAAUGUGGAGACAUCGUCCUUCUGUGCUGUUCCAUGCACAUUUCUCCUCCUCAUCUUCCCUUCUGCCUUGACUGGAUCAUAAUUCUGACGUGAGAGGAUGAAACCAGAUUUGUGGAAAGCCCGCUGAACCUACUUUUUUGCCUCAGGACAGAAAGUGGCUUUUGACUGGAGCCAUGGAGUUGGGAAGAGUGCAUCCAUCAUCCCCAC